GACGAACGCUGGCGGCGUGCUUAACACAUGCAAGUCGAACGGAAAGGCCCUGCUUUUGUGGGGUGCUCGAGUGGCGAACGGGUGAGUAACACGUGAGUAGCCUGCCCUUGACUUUGGGAUAACUUCAGGAAACUGGGGCUAAUACCGGAUAGGAGCUCCUGCUGCAUGGUGGGGGUUGGAAAGUUUCGGCGGUUGGGGAUGGACUCGCGGCUUAUCAGCUUGUUGGUGGGGUAGUGGCUUACCAAGGCUUUGACGGGUAGCCGGCCUGAGAGGGUGACCGGCCACAUUGGGACUGAGAUACAGCCCAGACUCCUACGGGAGGCAGCAGUGGGGAAUAUUGCACAAUGGGCGGAAGCCUGAUGCAGCAACGCCGCGUGCGGGAUGACGGCCUUCGGGUUGUAAACCGCUUUCGCCUGUGACGAAGCGUGAGUGACGGUAAUGGGUAAAGAAGCACCGGCUAACUACGUG
rnacentral:rRNA from 1 species